CUUUGUUCGGGUAGGAUGUCUAAAACAGCCCCUUUGUAGGAAGGUUUUGUAAUUUGUUAUAAUAAAUAAAAAAUAAAAACCAAGUGCUUUCGCCCCCUUGAAAUUCUCUUGUACUGGUUUCUAGAGAGAGAGAGUCUCUCUGUAAUUCACAAAUGGCAUCCCCCACUCUGAAGGCUGUGGCAAUCAUCUCUGGAGACCCAAACGUCAAAGGCUCUCUUCUUUUCAUCCAGUACCCAAACGGAGCCACCCAUGUGAAAGGAAAAAUAGCAGGCCUCUCUCCAGGCCUCCAUGGAUUCCAUGUCCAUGCCUUUGGUGACACAACCAAUGGUUGCAUGUCAACUGGUCCGCAUUAUAAUCCAUGGAAGAAGGAUCAUGGGGCGCCGACUGAUGAGGAGAGGCAUGCGGGUGACCUGGGAAACAUAUAUGCAGGGCAUGAUGGGGUGGCUGAAGUGUCUUUGAAGAACUCCCAGAUUCCACUUAGUGGACCGAAUUCUAUAGUUGGGAGGGCAGUUGUGGUGCACGCUGAUCCUGAUGACCUUGGCCGAGGUGGUCAUGAGUUGAGUAAAGCAACCGGAAAUGCAGGUGGCCGAGUCGGAUGCGAAUUGUGGUCCAUCCCCACAGAUCUUCUAUGGAAUGGCUGGUGGAAUUACCCAGCUGUGUAGGCAUAUAUGGCAUACACCAUAAGCAGGAUAUGUGUCAUUGGUCUGCAAUCAUCAGUGUAAAAACCAAGAAUUUUGGAUGGAAGAGAUGACAAAGAAAGGUCGCACUUCCAUUACUUAAAAAAGCAAAAUAACAAGGGCUACUUUCUCAUGUCUGGUUGAGUCUUCAAAAGUGAUUCAAUCAUUCAACUAUGGUCUCCUUUUGGGAUCAUUUAUUGCCCAUAGGACUGAGGUUUGAAGAUGGAGUCGAUGCCUUCAAGUUUGAGUCUCAAAAUUUACUUACAACACAUGUCAAGGUAUUGUUCAGCUACCAAGACAAACGACAGUAUUGCUCAUUCAUCAUCAUCCUCGUAUGAUGAUAUCAUUAAAAAAAAAUGUGGUCUAACUUUUUUUGGAGACUUUGGUACUAAAGUUUGUGAAGGAAUACAUGAUGUACUAGAUUAUCUUGA